UGAGAGACUGUCUUCUCCUUUAAUACUUUCAGGAGGUAUGUCUCUCUUUAUCUCACAGAUGAGGAAACAGGGUGAAUUUCCUGCCCAAGUUCACACAGCCCAAAUGCAGUGAAACUCAGCUCCACUGGUUCUGGGCCAUUCCCCCCACUUCACCUCGCGCAGUGCCAGGCUAGCUUCUCUUAAACUGUUAAUUUCUAUCAGUUUCAGCUGACUCCCCCUUUCCUCCCUCCCCAGAGGACCUAGAGCAGACACAACCCCUGAAUUCAUGUGCAUGGAAUAGAAGUGUGGUGCCUUGCCUCUGCCAGUUCUGGGACUUCUCGGUUGACAGAUGUGGAGACCCAGAGUCAAGGAAUGAUGUACCCCAGAACCCCUGGGGAAUUCGACACAACCAGAGCGAGCACCCAGCUGCCAUCAUGCCCAGUCUAAGGCUGCGUCACUCCAGAGGGCUUCCUUUCCCAAUGAAUUAAAGCUGAUUUGAAGGGUAAAAGAGUCUAAAAACAUACCAUUAUCUGAAGAACAACUUUAACACAUGUAAAUAGAGGCCCAAAGAUUUUUAUCGCUAUUUUCAGUUGAACACAAAU